rnacentral:rRNA from 1 species
UCAGGACGAACGCUGGCGGCGUGCUUAACACAUGCAAGUCGAACGGUGAGGGUCAAGCUUGCUUGGCCUGAUCAGUGGCGAACGGGUGAGUAACACGUGAGUAACCUGCCCCAGACUCUGGGAUAACCCCGGGAAACCGGAGCUAAUACCGGAUAUGACAUCAACUCGCAUGAGUAUGGUGUGGAAAGUUUUUCGGUCUGGGAUGGACUCGCGGCCUAUCAGCUUGUUGGUGAGGUAGUGGCUCACCAAGGCGACGACGGGUAGCCGGCCUGAGAGGGCGACCGGCCACACUGGGACUGAGACACGGCCCAGACUCCUACGGGAGGCAGCAGUGGGGAAUAUUGCACAAUGGGCGGAAGCCUGAUGCAGCGACGCCGCGUGAGGGAUGACGGCCUUCGGGUUGUAAACCUCUUUCAGCAGGGAAGAAGCGCAAGUG